ACGAACGUUGGCGGCGUGGAUUAGGCAUGCAAGUCGGGGGAAUCCCAGCAAUGGGGGAACCGGCGUAAGGGGCAGUAAUGCGUGGGUGACCUACCCCGGGGUUCGGCAUAGCCUCUCGAGUGAGAGGGUAAUUCCGGAUGACGUCGUGAGACCAAAGGUUUACCGCCCUGGGAGGGGCCCACGUGAUAUUAGCUAGUUGGUGGGGUAACGGCCCACCAAGGCGAAGAUGUCUAGCGGGUGUGAGAGCACGACCCGCGCCACUGGCACUGAGACACUGGCCAGACACCUACGGGUGGCUGCAGUCGAGGAUCUUCGGCAAUGGGCGCAAGCCUGACCGAGCGACGCCGCGUGUGCGACGAAGGCCUUCGGGUUGUAAAGCACUGUCGAGGGGGAGAAAAGCCCGCAAGGGUUUGAUCUAUCCCUGGAGGAAGCACGGGCUAAGUUCGUGCCAGCAGCCGCGGUAAU
rnacentral:rRNA from 1 species